rnacentral:rRNA from 1 species
CCUACGGGGGGUAGCAGUGAGGAAUAUUGGUCAAUGGCCGAGAGUCUGAACCAGCCAAGUAGCGUGAAGGAUGACUGCCCUAUGGGUUGUAAACUUCUUUUAUAUGGGAAUAAAAUGUUCCACGUGUGGGUUUUUGUAUGUACCUUAUGAAUAAGGAUCGGCUAACUCCGUGCCAGCAGCCGCGGUAAUACGGAGGAUCCGAGCGUUAUCCGGAUUUAUUGGGUUUAAAGGGUGCGUAGGUGGAUUGUUAAGUCAGUUGUGAAAGUUUGCGGCUCAACCGUAAAAUUGCAGUUGAAACUGGCAGUCUUGAGUAGAGGAGAGGUGGGCGGAAUGCGUAGUGUAGCGGUGAAAUGCUUAGAUAUCGCGAAGAACUCCGAUUGCGAAGGCAGCUCACUGGAGGACAACUGACACUGAGGCUCGAAAGUGUGGGUAUCAAACAGGAUUAGAUACCCGUGUAGUC